ensembl:lncRNA SLC66A1L solute carrier family 66 member 1 like (pseudogene)
GUUUCUCCUUCAGUUUCCUCUCAUUGCCUGAGGUUGGGCCCGAACACGGCGGUACAUUUCCUUGAGAGUCUUCUACAUUCAUGCUGUAGAAGCUAUGAAAGUCGUGGGAAACUAUAGAGUCAACACUGCAAACUCAAGCACUGAUACGUCCGGAGAGCACUUGACCUGCCUUAGAAGUCAGCUCUUUGUAGCCUACAGAAAUGGAAGAGUGGAUGAAGCAGUCUCUCUGGGUUUUCUGGAUUGCUGGAUAGGUGGAGACCUGACAAAUUUCAAAGGCUGCUACCUGACUAACCAACUGCCUAUUCAGGAUAUUCCAACCUCAGUUAUUCAAAGACUCCAUCACCAGAGAGAAAGUCAGAUUGUCACUUUGGGGAGUCCUCUGCCCUGUAUAUAUCCCAUAUUCUUUCAGAUAAGUGAAAUUAGCAUGCCUGGGUAUUACAGUUGUUUAUGCCAUACUACUAUAAAUACUUCUAAGAGAAGAUUUAUCUUGACUUAAGACUUGGAAUUUUGUUAAAUUAAUGCACAAAUGUAUAUGACCAUAACUUAACGAUGAUUUGUAUAUUAGCUGAGUCAAGUGGCAUACAUAAAAGCAAUGAAGGUUUCUUGGACAUUCUACACUGAAAUGUUUAGAAUGUUUAAAAAAUUUAUCUUUCUAUUUUCCAAUAGUGUGGUAAAUGUAAAGUGCUUAGCACUUUGCGUGACACAUGGUAGGGCCUCAAAAAAUAUUAGCUAUUAUCAUUAUAAACCACAGAGGCCCUGUUAUGUGGCAGUUUGUAUCUCUCUCUUGACUAAUAGAAGCACUUUGCAGAUGAUAUGUCACACAAUCUAGAAAGGUAGUGCUUAAAGGAAUAGACUUAUCUCCUUAUUUUACAAAUGAGGACAUUGAGGCCCUAGGAAGUUAAAUGACUUAGACAAAAUCACAAAGGUAAAGUGGAAAGCCCAGGAGAAAUCCCCUGGCCUUCAGCCUGCUGUGAUUUCUACCAACUAUAGAUUAGAACUUUUCAGACAAGUGGCACCUGCAAGUGUCUUCGAGCAAGGCCUCAACCUCCAGCACAGCUCUUGCCACCUACAAACACCAGGGAAGAGCAAGAUUGAGUUACAUGGCUUGGAAGAAGAGUGAAACACCUCGCAAGACCCAGAGAAAACUCCACAUCCAUUUGCAGCUAAUUUUAAAGCCCAAAUAAAAGCACAAUCUUU